rnacentral:tmRNA from 1 species
CAAAACAAUAAGUGCCAAAUCAAACCGCACUGACUUCGCCCUCGCUGCCUAAGCGAGCGCACUAAGAAGUCCGCCAGGCCGGGAAUGCUCUCUACCCGGACCCUGACGUCAUUUAGAGAGAUUGCUCCUACUCUGAGCCGCGGGGUGUAGGGGGACUUAAACGAGGGCUGGGCUUGUCGGAUUAGAUGCCAGUGGCAAAUUCCGGAGCCGAGUAGAACGAUUUCACUGGAUACACCCGUAGAAGGCAUAUGACCACAGCAGUGGACGGGGGUUCAAUUCCCCCCAUCUCCACCA